rnacentral:rRNA from 1 species
AGUGAACGCUGGCGGUAGGCCUAACACAUGCAAGUCGAACGGCAGCACAGUAAGAGCUUGCUCUUACGGGUGGCGAGUGGCGGACGGGUGAGGAAUACAUCGGAAUCUACUUUUUCGUGGGGGAUAACGUAGGGAAACUUACGCUAAUACCGCAUACGACCUACGGGUGAAAGCAGGGGAUCUUCGGACCUUGCGCGAUUGAAUGAGCCGAGGUCGGAUUAGCUAGUUGGCGGGGUAAAGGCCCACCAAGGCGACGAUCCGUAGCUGGUCUGAGAGGAUGAUCAGCCACACUGGAACUGAGACACGGUCCAGACUCCUACGGGAGGCAGCAGUGGGGAAUAUUGGACAAUGGGCGCAAGCCUGAUCCAGCCAUACCGCGUGGGUGAAGAAGGUCUUCGGGUUGUAAAGCCCUUUUGUUGGGAAAGAAAAGCAGCAGGUUAAUACCCCGCUGUUCUGACGGUACCCAAAGAAUAAGCACCGGCUAACUUCGUG